UAUUGGACAAUGGGCGCAAGCCUGAUGCAGCCAUGCCGCGUGUGUGAAGAAGGCCUACGGGUUGUAAAGCACUUUCAGUCAGGAGGAAAGGUUAGUAGUUAAUACCUGCUAGCUGUGACGUUACUGACAGAAGAAGCACCGGCUAACUCCGUGCCAGCAGCCGCGGUAAUACGGAGGGUGCGAGCGUUAAUCGGAAUUACUGGGCGUAAAGCGUACGCAGGCGGUUUGUUAAGCGAGAUGAGAAAGCCCCGGGCUCAACCUGGGAACUGCAUUUCGAACUGGCAAACUAGAGUGUGAUAGAGGGUGGUAGAAUUUCAGGUGUAGCGGUGAAAUGCGUAGAGAUUUGAAGGAAUACCGAUGGCGAAGGCAGCCACCUGGGUCAACACUGACGCUCAUUACGAAA
rnacentral:rRNA from 1 species